CUGCUCCUGCUGCCCCUCCCAGGGCUCCGGGCGGCCGUGACCCUGUGGGAGUGCGGGGGGGACCUCCAGACCCCCGGGAGGUCCCUGCGCCUCCUCUGCCGAGGGUCCGGGUUCGAUUUUGGACAAUUUGGGAUGGGCUGGAUGCGCCAGAGACCCGGGCAGGGGCUGGAGUUGGUCGCGAGUGUCAACAACAAUGGAGGGUACACCGGGUAUGCGCCAUCAGUCCAGGGCCGGGUCACGAUCUCCAGGGACAAUGGGCAGAGCUCGGUGACGCUGACCAUGAACAACCUCAAGGACCAGGAUUCCGGAUAUUAUUUCGGUGGGAAAUCUGCUAAUGCUGGUUGGCCUGCUGCUGCUACUCAUAUUGACCAUGCCAGUUUUGGCAUCACCCCUGUCUGA